rnacentral:lncRNA from 1 species
CAUUUUGUCACGGGACGUCGCGUGGUACAAUUGGCCUGUGAGGCUACUGUUCAUCCCGCCCCCAUCUGAGGUGACGGGAAAAGGGCUGGGGAAUUUCCAUUUCUCAUUAAGAGGAGGGCUGAAGUGAGAACCCCGCAAGAAGGAACAAAAUAUGAAGUAGACCUAACCCUGCUCUUGGAGAGUCUUGUGCGUCCAAGAUGCAAGAGGCGUCGAGGUAGCAAAAGUAGCUCCCACCUGUCGCUCUCCACAGGCGCCGCGGCUAUGGCCGGAAGUAGCCGCACGGGGAUUGGCGGAAAGAAGCAAUCCGUCUCAGCGAAGCCCUCUCUUCCUGCCAUUUCCUGGUUGGCAGACCUCGACGUCAGUCACCACAUCAGGCUCCGCCUCCGGGACAGGUGAGGCUACUUAACCCGUUUGUCUCCGGCUGUUUGGGAAAAAGUCAAGGACUGGGAGCGGCCACGCUAAUCCGGCAUCAGGGUAGGGCUGAUUCUGUUUGGCGCCUCCCGCCUGUCCGGGCAGAGCGCAGCGCGCGGAGCUUAAGCAACCCCGGGAGCAGCUCCGAUGGCGUCUCUGAGGCUUCUCCACCCGCCCGCGCGCCUGGUGCUGGACCGGCGCGCUCUACAGCCUUGGGGCAGGAUGGUCCGGUGGGACCGCGUUCUCUCCGGGAAGCCGGCGGGCUGGACAGCGCCAUCCCUUGGUCCUGAGAACUGUCCGGCGGAGGAAGACAGAACGGUGCGUGGAAUCCGACCGCAGGGCUGGACGCGGCUAAGAGGACGUGCUCGCGGGCUAUUUCUGGUCCCGUAGUACCGCCACUUCUCUGUUGAGUGACCUCGGAGCGUUUGAUGUUACUCUAUGUAAAAUGGGAAUGUGAGCACCAUCCCCACCGGGUGGUUAGUUGAUAGCACAUGGAGCUUAGCAGAGUGGCCAACUUAUAGGGAAGAUUCGUUUUUUCUUAGUUAAUCCUCCCUCUUCCUUCAGCUCUCUGCCUGUUCUGGGUUCUGCCAGCCAAAACAAUUCUAGCUAAAUUUCUGACCAAGUAAGCUAUCCCCCUCUAAUGAUUUUCUCCCUUCCUCUCCCUCCCCCCCCCCCCCCAUUUUACCAAUAAAAAUAAUUAAAAGUGUUCCGGCUCCUCACUAAUUCGUGAUUUAAGAAAAUCACAAAGGAUUUAGUGAUGUUUGUAUGACAAAUGUCCUUUUACCCUGCAAACAUAUAUAUAACAGGUAAGAACAAAAGCUUUGUCAUUUUUCUGUUUAGAGCCCUUAUAAAGAAUCAUAUCUAUCUCAAUUGUGCAAUAGUCAGUACUUCGACUCCAUUAAAUUGGGUUUUGAAAAUUCUAUUUUCAUGUAAUUGGGCUGGAGAGAUGAUUGUGCCACUAAAGGCCAAGUUCAAUCAAAAGACCAAAACUAUAGCGAUUUGGGGAGAGGGGAGGCUGCUGAGCCAAAAAACUUUUUUAAUUGUUAAAAUUUCUUAGAUUGGUAAUUGUUCAUUUCAUAUGCCAAGAAAUACAGUGUUUCCUAUGAUUAAAAAAA